CCUUCCAUAAUUUGAAGCUGGCUCCUUCGGGGUCCGCAUUGUAAUUUGCAGAGGAUGCUUCGGGUGCGGCCCCUGUCUAAGUGCCCUGGAACGGGCCGUCAGAGAGGGUGAGAAUCCCGUCUGGGAUGGGGUGUCCGCGCCCGUGUGAAGCUCCUUCGACGAGUCGAGUUGUUUGGGAAUGCAGCUCUAAAUGGGUGGUAAAUUUCAUCUAAAGCUAAAUACUGGCCGGAGACCGAUAGCGAACAAGA
rnacentral:rRNA from 1 species